rnacentral:rRNA from 1 species
AUUGAACGCUGGCGGCAGGCCUAACACAUGCAAGUCGAACGAGUGGCGGACGGGUGCGUAAUGUCUGGGAAACUGCCCGAUGGAGGGGGAUAACUACUGGAAACGGUAGCUAAUACCGCAUACAAUCGGAUGUGCACCAAUGGGAUUGGCUUGUAGGUGAGGUAACGGCUCACCUAGGGGAAGAUCACUAGCGGGUCUGAGAGGAUGACCAGCCACACUGGAACUGAGAAACGGACGGGACUCCUAGGGGCGGAGGCCUUGGUGAAUAUUGUAAAAUGGGCGUAAGCCGUAUGCAGCCAUGCCGCGGUAGUGACUAAGGCCGUCGGGGUGUAAAGUGCUCUCAGCGAGGAGGCGCGACGCGCAGAAGAAGCACCGGCUAACUCCGUGCCAGCAGCCGCGGUAAUAC